UCCAUUGAAGGAGGGUUAUUUUACACUGAGGAAAUUGGAACCUCUUUGGAUGUGGAGGGCAAAAAGUCAAUAGAGAGGAAAGGUUAAGAAACAGGGCAGUUGGGGCGAGAGGUGCUUCACAAGGCUGGAUAGCUGAGAAGACAGAGGAGGGGACAUAUCACAGGUGAGGUGGAAUUAGCCCCAGGCAGAAAGAGGAAAAAAGAAGAUGGGCUAAGAGAAAAAUAAAGUUUUAGGUGGUGAGAGAGAAAGUUAUUAGUAACAACAUUAAUUAAUAUUCUUGGUACCAGGCACUGUGUUAAGUGGUUUACAUAGGUUGUCUCAUUCAGUCUUUAGAGUAACCAUUUGGAGAAGGCACUAAUAUUAUCCCAAUUUUACAGACAAAGAAAUUGCAGUAUGGAGAAAGAAGACAUCUUGUCAUAUAGUACAGUCAAGAUGCAAAGUAAGAUGGCAGCACAGAUGAAAAAAUGCCAGAAAAGCGCCUGGCCAACUGACUUCAACAGCAGCAAAUCCACUGCCUACCCUCCACUCACCCUUCUUUUUUUUAAGGGGGGGAAAAAAAAAGCAGAACCUAAGGUCAUAUAAGCAUGGUCAUUUGCAUCAUGACACUGGGCAUCUGAUACAGCCAAACUCCAAGCCACCUGGUCUGCUGUGAGUAUUGGAUUCAUGUAAACGCUGCUAUUUACUGACCCUUGUGUCAACUGAUGCUUUGAACCUGCUGUAAAAUGAUCCCCAUGUCACCAGAUGCUGCACUGAAGCUUAAGUUAGCAAGAAGGUAACAUUUCAUUAAAAGAUUGCAACUUAUGGUUGAAUUAAUAAUGCAAGAGGAAAGGAGUGGAACAGACUUAGAAGACCUUUAUACUUUACAUCAAAACCCCACUAAGGUUUUGUGUUUUUUUUAAGAUUUUUUAUUUAU
rnacentral:lncRNA from 1 species